rnacentral:lncRNA from 1 species
GCCUCUUUCUCUGCCUUUUUAGUAAAUGUUUCCACGACUUAUGGAGCUCUUCUGCGUCACGAUCAUUGAUGACUUCGUUUUUUUCUCUGCCCUUUGCUGUUUGCAAAUUUUCUGCCAUGGCUGGCUCUGGCGGGUUUUCGACUUGCUUUACUGCUUUUGCGUCCUUCCAAUUUACUGUGACGUUGUUCUCGUGAGCUCUCGUUGUCCUGUUGGCUGUCUUAGUGCUCCUUUUGUGUUCUUAUAUCCCGUCUUGGAAUUCCUGCACAUUGCCCCGGCAUGUAUCUCAUGCUUGCCUGUGUCUGGGUUUGUCAUGGAUGUCUGAUGGACUCCGCUUUUCUCGCCCGUUCUCCUUGGGUCCUUCGGAUUUCUUAAUAAUUCGUAGACCAUCGGGGC